CGUCGUCAAGUAUGUUGGUGGUUAGAACACUUUCGUGCCCAUUCACCAUGACCGGUUAUUGGUUACUUGAAAAGUAUCAGUACUCUUUUAUUUUCGUUUUCUUUUUGUUUACAGUAUAUGUGUGUUUACAGAAUGUAGUGAUAUGAAUGGAAUACAUAAGAAACUGUAAGCAAAUAUGAUGAUUAUUUACAAAUAAAAGUCAAACUUCAAUUUUGCAAAGUGCAAUAAAGUUGAUUAAUUCAUCUAUAUUUUGUUGGUUUUUGGACAUCAGGAUUUCUGGUAAGUUAUUAAAUUUCUUGAACAAAUCAAAAUCAUUCCUAUGAUUUUGAUGCUUUUUGCAGAAAAAAAUUAUGUGUUUUUCAUCUUCAAUUUCGUUGCAGGUUUCACAAAGAUUUGAGUCAGCAAUUCCAAUCCUGUGGAAAUAUUUUUUGGUGUAAGUAUGACCAGUGAGCAAUCGAUUAACAAUCUUUAUGUUUUCAGGUUUCAUGUUUGAUGAAAAGAACCAGGGCUGUUUAGCAGGCGCCGGGAAGAAUUGGUAGAAGAGUGACUCAAUGCGUUUCGACGCAUCUGUGACCGACAGACAGAAGUUGAUUGGUGAACCAACAUUUGCUGCAUGCUUCGCAAAAUAAUCGGCUGUUUCAUUGAUUGGUAUACCGACAUGGGAAGGUGUCCAAACAAACGAGAUUUUAAUUAAAUGCGAAUUAACUAUUUUGUUUAGAAUAUUGUACACAGUGAAAUUGUGAGAUGUGUUGUUUUUAAGCAGAAGACAAGCAUUUUUGCUGUCUGUAAAUAAAGCAGCUGUGCUGACACCGUCUUCGAUCAUCAAA